UACGAAGGGGGCUAGCGUUGUUCGGAAUUACUGGGCGUAAAGCGCACGUAGGCGGAUCGAUCAGUCAGGGGUGAAAUCCCAGGGCUCAACCCUGGAACUGCCUUUGAUACUGUCGAUCUGGAGUAUGGAAGAGGUGAGUGGAAUUCCGAGUGUAGAGGUGAAAUUCGUAGAUAUUCGGAGGAACACCAGUGGCGAAGGCGGCUCACUGGUCCAUUACUGACGCUGAGGUGCGAAAGCGUGGGGAGCA
rnacentral:rRNA from 1 species